rnacentral:guide_RNA from 1 species
AAGAAAAUGCACAACAGACAAAGAAGU